rnacentral:lncRNA from 1 species
UCAUUAAGAAUCAUCGAUCAUCAAGAUGAUGUUCGACAAGUCUCACGAUCCAUCAGUAACACCUAGUAGUAUGUAGUGACAACCUAACAGAAUAAAAAUGAUGAACCUUUAGGUGUAGUUACCAUGUGAUUCAGUUCUUCUAUCAUGAGUUUUGAUAAAAUGAAGGUUAUGAAAAACUCAUCAAAUCCUAUCAUCUAUCAUAUGUAAGAUUGGCUUAACUUGAAUGCAUUUAUGAAUUUCAAUAGAAACUCUUUUUCACUAUUCACACUUGCUUUGGCCCAAGACUUUUUGAACUGAGUCUCACAAAUCACAUAGAACUUCUUCUUUUCUACUA